rnacentral:rRNA from 1 species
AGUGAACGCUGGCGGUAGGCCUAACACAUGCAAGUCGAACGGCAGCACAGUAAGAGCUUGCUCUUACGGGUGGCGAGUGGCGGACGGGUGAGGAAUACAUCGGAAUCUACUUUUUCGUGGGGGAUAGCGUAGGGAAACUUACGCUAAUACCGCAUACGACCUACGGGUGAAAGCAGGGGAUCUUCGGACCUUGCGCGAUUGAAUGAGCCGAUGUCGGAUUAGCUAGUUGGCGGGGUAAAGGCCCACCAAGGCGACGAUCCGUAGCUGGUCUGAGAGGAUGAUCAGCCACACUGGAACUGAGACACGGUCCAGACUCCUACGGGAGGCAGCAGUGGGGAAUAUUGGACAAUGGGCGCAAGCCUGAUCCAGCCAUACCGCGUGGGUGAAGAAGGCCUUCGGGUUGUAAAGCCCUUUUGUUGGGUAAGAAAAGCAGCAGGUUAAUACCCCGCUGUUCUGACGGUACCCAAAGAAUAAGCACCGGCUAACUUCGUG